rnacentral:rRNA from 1 species
GAUGAACGCUGGCGGCGUGCCUAAUACAUGCAAGUCGAGCGAACAGAUAAGGAGCUUGCUCCUUUGACGUUAGCGGCGGACGGGUGAGUAACACGUGGGUAACCUACCUAUAAGACUGGGAUAACUUCGGGAAACCGGAGCUAAUACCGGAUAAUAUUUCGAACCGCAUGGUUCGAUAGUGAAAGGUGGUUUUGCUAUCACUUAUAGAUGGACCCGCGCCGUAUUAGCUAGUUGGUAAGGUAACGGCUUACCAAGGCGACGAUACGUAGCCGACCUGAGAGGGUGAUCGGCCACACUGGAACUGAGACACGGUCCAGACUCCUACGGGAGGCAGCAGUAGGGAAUCUUCCGCAAUGGGCGAAAGCCUGACGGAGCAACGCCGCGUGAGUGAUGAAGGUCUUCGGAUCGUAAAACUCUGUUAUUAGGGAAGAACAUAAGUGUAAGUAACUGUGCACGUCUUGACGGUACCUAAUCAGAAAGCCACGGCUAACUACGUG